GGAGGGUGCAAGCGUUAUUCGGAAUUAUUGGGCGUAAAGCGCACGUAGGCGGUUUGGUAAGUCUGAUGUGAAAGCCCACGACUUAAUCGUGGAAGUGCAUUGGAUACUGCCAGACUUGAGUACAGGAGGGGAGAACGGAAUUCCUGGUGGAGAGGUGAAAUUCGUAGAUAUCAGGAGGAACAACUGUGGCGAAGGCGGUUCUCUGGACUGUAACUGACGCUGAGGUGCGAAAGUGUGGGGAGCAAACAGGAUUAGAUACCCUGGUAGUCCACACUGUAAACGAUGGACACUAGAUGUCGGGGGCUCUUGCACCUCGGUGUCGUAGCUAACGCGUUAAGUGUCCCCGCCUGGGAUUACGACCGCAAGGUUA
rnacentral:rRNA from 1 species